GAUGAACGCUGGCGGCGUGCCUAACACAUGCAAGUCGAACGAAGCACUUUAGCUUGAUUCUUCGGGAUGAAGAGUUUUGUGGCUGAGCGGCGGACGGGUGAGUAACGCGUGGGUAACCUGCCUCAUACAGGGGGAUAACAGUUAGAAAUGACUGCUAAUACCGCAUAAGACCACAGCACCGCAUGGUGCAGGGGUAAAAACUCCGGUGGUAUGAGAUGGACCCGCGUCUGAUUAGCUGGUUGGUGGGGUAACGGCCUACCAAGGCAACGAUCAGUAGCCGGCCUGAGAGGGCGACCGGCCACAUUGGGACUGAGACACGGCCCAAACUCCUACGGGGGGCAGCAGAGGGGAACACUGCACAAUGGGGGAAACCCUGAUGCAGCGACGCCGCGUGAAGGAAGAAGUAUUUCGGUAUGUAAACUUCUAUCAGCAGGGAAGAAAAUGACGGUACCUGACUAAGAAGCCCCGGCUAACUACGUGCCAGCAGCCGCUGUAA
rnacentral:rRNA from 1 species